AGAGUUUGAUCCUGGCUCAGGACGAACGCUGGCGGCGUGCCUAAUACAUGCAAGUCGAGCGAGCUUGCCUAGAUGAUUUUAGUGCUUGCACUAAAUGAAACUAGAUACAAGCGAGCGGCGGACGGGUGAGUAACACGUGGGUAACCUGCCUAAGAGACUGGGAUAACACCUGGAAACAGAUGCUAAUACCGGAUAACAACACUAGACGCAUGUCUAGAGUUUGAAAGAUGGUUCUGCUAUCACUCUUGGAUGGACCUGCGGUGCAUUAGCUAGUUGGUAAGGUAACGGCUUACCAAGGCAAUGAUGCAUAGCCGAGUUGAGAGACUGAUCGGCCACAUUGGGACUGAGACACGGCCCAAACUCCUACGGGAGGCAGCAGUAGGGAAUCUUCCACAAUGGACGAAAGUCUGAUGGAGCAACGCCGCGUGAGUGAAGAAGGGUUUCGGCUCGUAAAGCUCUGUUGGUAGUGAAGAAAGAUAGAGGUAGUAACUGGCCUUUAUUUGACGGUAAUUACUUAGAAAGUCACGGCUAACUACGUGCCAGCAGCCGCGGUAAUACGUAGGUGGCAAGCGUUGUCCGGAUUUAUUGGGCGUAAAGCGAGUGCAGGCGGUUCAAUAAGUCUGAUGUGAAAGCCUUCGGCUCAACCGGAGAAUUGCAUCAGAAACUGUUGAACUUGAGUGCAGAAGAGGAGAGUGGAACUCCAUGUGUAGCGGUGGAAUGCGUAGAUAUAUGGAAGAACACCAGUGGCGAAGGCGGCUCUCUGGUCUGCAACUGACGCUGAGGCUCGAAAGCAUGGGUAGCGAACAGGAUUAGAUACCCUGGUAGUCCAUGCCGUAAACGAUGAGUGCUAAGUGUUGGGAGGUUUCCGCCUCUCAGUGCUGCAGCUAACGCAUUAAGCACUCCGCCUGGGGA
rnacentral:rRNA from 1 species